UACAGAGGUCUCAAGCGUUGUUCGGAUUCAUUGGGCGUAAAGGGUGCGUAGGCGGCGCGGUAAGUCGGGUGUGAAAUCUCGGGGCUUAACUCCGAAACUGCAUUCGAUACUGCCGGUGCUUGAGGACUGGAGAGGAGACUGGAAUUUACGGUGUAGCGGUGAAAUGCGUAGAUAUCGUAAGGAAGACCAGUGGCGAAGGCGGGUCUCUGGA
rnacentral:rRNA from 1 species